GUUUUUAAUUUUAAUUAUUAUAAAUAUAUUUUUUCUCUUAUUUAGUGUUGUCUUUUUGUAUAAAUUAUACAAGUAUCCUUUGAUUUAUGAUCACCUGUACUUAAGAUGGCGGUGUCAUCAAAGAGUUCUGUGAGUGGUCAACUCAAUUCCAAGAUUCAAAUCCCUAACUAAGUACAAACUAAAAGAAGAAUGUACAAGUUCAAACAAAAGAAAAUGCUUUUAGAAAGGCAAAUACUAGAAUUGCAAGAAGAAGUAGGAAUAAGAAAUAAAAUCUUAAUAGAUAUAAGAAUAAAUAUCCUUAUUGAGAAUCUUAGAAAGCAACAUAUUAAGAAACCUAAAUGGAGAUUUUAUAAACAGUUUCCAAGAAAUAGACAUAGUAAGUUAGAGCUCAGCCAAGUUGCUUCUUUAGGAGGUGAUAUGAGCAUUCCACAAUAUGCCUUAGAUCUGUUGUAAAAAGGACCAUCAUAAACUUAAAGAAUAUUAUUACACUGCCAGAAAUUUAAACAUAGGAUAUAUAUAACUAGCACUAUGGCAGGAGAGAGAAAUAAUUACACUUCAUUAA
rnacentral:lncRNA from 1 species